UGCUCACUUUCGUCACGUCUGUUUGUUAAUUGUCACCCUAACGUCUUUAGCUUUUGACCUUUUCAAGGGUAUUCAGUUACUUCCGUUUCCUCUUAAUCUCACAACAAUAAGAUCAUCGACUUUAAAGUGAUGUCCAGUUUUCACUCUUCAGCUCUCCUAAUUCUCCAUGAAAUGUUACCAUGGUUUCGUUUUUUGAUAAUUAUCUUGUUAAUCAUGCGACUCAUAUUUCAUUUUUCAUCUUCUCAUGAAACAUGACCAUGAAUCUUAUCGUUGAAACAUUGUUACAUUUUCCAACAACUUCCGUUUUCUCAACAAUCAGAUGAAACUUCAUCUUCCGUCUACCGUGAUGAUAAUUUCCGUUUCAAAGAAUCUUAAAUGAUGAUUAUAUAAUUUGUGAUCUUAUUCUCCGUUUACAUUACAUGAGAAAAAAAAUUCUAAUGAUUUGAAAUGACUGAAUCUGAACUCUUCCUCCGAUUCUCCAUGAAAUUAAUCCUCAUUCACCAGAUUUACAGUUAACUACUUGUCCAUUGACAGGUAAACAUUUAG